UCAAUGCCAUCUCUCUCUAAGCAAGAAUCUCAAAGCGCCUCCUCUAGGCUUCUGUCUUGAAAGUGAUAUCCAUAGUGUCUACUUGUUGAAUUCUCUAAAGUUAGUAAGAUCAAUUAGCUUAUGCUAUGUUAGCCUGAAAGUAGACAUAAGUUAGGUUAGUAGUGGUCAAUACAAAAGAAUAUACCACGUAACAUUCGGG
rnacentral:lncRNA from 1 species